ACUUUGGAACAAAGCGCUUUUCCUUUUAGCGUCUUCUUAUUGAGAAAAUAUUCGUCUUAAAAUGAGGGUUAUUUGUGUGACUCUCCUGAUUCUCUCCAGCUUUGUGGAAUCUCAAUCAGCCUGCUGAGGGACUACUGCUGGGAGACUGCCUGAAACCCAAGUGCUGUCAGCCUACAGCCUCACCUCUCUGACA